UUUAGCCAUGCUANUNGCACGAGUUUAGACUCGUGGCAUAUAGCUCAGUAACACGUGNCCAAACUACCCUACAGACCGCAAUAACCUCGGGAAACUGAGGCCAAUAGCGGAUAUAACUCUCAGACUGGAGUGUCGAGAGUUAGAAACGUUCCGGCGCUGUAGGAUGUGGCUGCGGCCGAUUAGGUAGAUGGUGGGGUAACGGCCCACCAUGCCGAUAAUCGGUACAGGUUGUGAGAGCAAGAGCCUGGAGACGGUAUCUGAGACAAGAUACCGGGCCCUACGGGGCGCAGCAGGCGCGAAACCUUUACACUGCACGACAGUGCGAUAGGGGGACUCCGAGUGUGAGGGCAUAUAGCCCUCGCUUUUCUGCACCGUAAGGUGGUGCAAGAAUAAGGACUGGGCAAGACCGGUGCCAGCCGCCGCGGUAAUACCGGCAGUCCAAGUGAUGGCCGAUAUUAUUGGGCCUAAAGCGUCCGUAGCUUGCUGUGUAAGUCCAUUGGGAAAUCGACCAGCUCAACUGGUCGACGUCCGGUGGAAACUACACAGCUUGGGGCCGAGAGACUCAACGGGUACGUCCGGGGUAGGAGUGAAAUCCUAUAAUCCUGGACGGACCACCAAUGGGGAAACCACGUUGAGAGACCGGACCCGACAGUGAGGGACGAAAGCCAGGGUCUCGAACCGGAUUAGAUACCCGGGUAGUCCUGGCCGUAAACAAUGCUCGCUAGGUAUGUCACGCGCCAUGAGCACGUGAUGUGCCGUAGUGAAGACGAUAAGCGAGCCGCCUGGGAAGUACGUCCGCAAGGAUGAGACUUAAAGGAAUUGGCGG
rnacentral:rRNA from 1 species